rnacentral:piRNA from 1 species
UGUCACUCAUGUAGGGAUUGAGCUGU